AGCAGUGUGUUGGGGAGAGGUUUUUUUUUUUUCUUCCUUGAUUGUGUGUGUGAGAAGAAAAUCUGGAGGACAAACUUCACCAGCCAGAGAGAGAGAGAGAAAGAGAGAGGGAGAGUGAAAGAGAGAAAGAGGAACAGGGGCAGAAGGGUAACCUGUGAACUACCCUCCAGGAGCAUCUGCAUCUUGAUGCCACUGCAAUCUGCCACUACUUGUGUCUUUUGAGCUGGAAAAAGAAGCUUCUUCAGACAGAUAAGCACACAGCGAUGAUGUGCAUGUACCUCCUGGCUAACACACCAGCGUCGCUGCGGCCAAAGAGAACGCCUGGAACGAGCAGCUUGACAUUGGAGCAACUUUACUCAGAAAAAAACGGAAGAUCUGAAAGAAAAUCCAGAAAGAAAAACCCUGGGAAAUCAUUGUCUGUGGCUUGGCCCUGAAGCUGUGGAUUGUGGAUGUUGAGAGAGGAACAGACCAGUGAGUUUUAUAUUUUGCUGAAGAUUUGGCCUACUCUGUCCUCCCAGCCAGACUCCAUUUUGAUGCCACGCGAUUGCUGACCGCAUAUUCAGGACGGACUUCUCUCAGCCGCCUGGCGUGACAGCGCUACACCGAGCUCAGUAUGUCUCUUUUAUUUCUUAAUUCCACAUUUUUUAAGGUUCCAUCUCACUAAGCUUUUCAGUUUUGUUCUUUUUUUUCAUAUUAUUUGUUUGACUGUGCUCUUUUUUCCCCUCACGAAUCUGUUGAGCAGUCAUGAGAAACAAGUUAAAAAAUCUGGGUGCAAAAUAGCAGUGAAAACAAAAUAACCAAAAUCAAAUAGCUUCUUCAGGUUGUCUUUAAAAGCUUUCAUUCAGAGAAGGAGCAAAUGAUACAGAAUCUGACAUUGACAUGUAAUGAUAUUGCGACUUAUUAAA